ACGCACGCUGGCGGCGUGCUUAACACAUGCAAGUCGAACGGAAAGGCCCUGCUUUUGUGGGGUGCUCGAGUGGCGAACGGGUGAGUAACACGUGAGUAACCUGCCCUUGACUUUGGGAUAACUUCAGGAAACUGGGGCUAAUACCGGAUAGGAGCUCCUGCUGCAUGGUGGGGGUUGGAAAGUUUCGGCGGUUGGGGAUGGACUCGCGGCUUAUCAGCUUGUUGGUGGGGUAGUGGCUUACCAAGGCUUUGACGGGUAGCCGGCCUGAGAGGGUGACCGGCCACUUUGGGACUGAGAUACGGCCCAGACUCCUACGGGAGGCAGCAGUGGGGAAUAUUGCACAAUGGGCGGAAGCCUGAUGCAGCAACGCCGCGUGCGGGAUGACGGCCUUCGGGUUGUAAACCGCUUUCGCCUGUGACGAAGCGUGAGUGACGGUAAUGGGUAAAGAAGCACCGGCUAACUACGUG
rnacentral:rRNA from 1 species